UACGGGGGAGGCAAGCGUUGUUCGGAAUUACUGGGCGUAAAGGGCUCGUAGGUGGCCAACUAAGUCAGACGUGAAAUCCCUCGGCUUAACCGGGGAACUGCGUCUGAUACUGGAUGGCUUGAGUUCGGGAGAGGGAUGCGGAAUUCCAGGUGUAGCGGUGAAAUGCGUAGAUAUCUGGAGGAACACCGGUGGCGAAGGCGGCAUCCUGGACCGACACUGACGCUGAGGAGCGAAAGCCAGGGGAGCAAAGCGGG
rnacentral:rRNA from 1 species